rnacentral:rRNA from 1 species
UACAGAGGGGGCAAGCGUUGUUCGGAAUUAUUGGGCGUAAAGGGCGCGUAGGCGGUGCGGUAAGUCUUUUGUGAAAUCUCCGGGCUCAACUCGGAGUCUGCAAGGGAAACUGCCGUGCUUGAGUGUGGGAGAGGUGAGUGGAAUUCCCGGUGUAGCGGUGAAAUGCGUAGAUAUCGGGAAGAACACCAGUGGCGAAGGCGAGUCUCUGGGAUGAUGCUGACGCUGAGGCGCGAAAGCCAGGGGAGCAAACGGG